CCUUCGAUAGCUCAGUUGGUAGAGCGGAGGACUGUAGUGUAAAGCUCCCAGGCAUCCUUAGGUCGCUGGUUCGAGUCCGGCUCGAAGGA
rnacentral:tRNA from 1 species